GAGUGAGCAUGGACGCAGAUCCUCUCCCAGUGGAGCAUUUGGAUGACCACGGCUCUGGCUAACACCUCACUUACAGCCUUGGGAGAGAUUCUGAGUCAGAGGCAUCCAGCUAAAUUGACCCACAGACACGGCCUAUAAAAGCCCCAGGCUCAGCCAGAGCAGAGCAGAUGAUGGAUGACCAGCUGCAGAGAAGAGCUACCCUUUCUGCUGACAGCAGAAGAUGUCCCAACAACCAGCAGAAGAGAGAAGCUAUCCAUUCUAGGGCCUCUUCUCUGCUGAGAGCUUCAGAAACCUGCAGAGACAUCGAGACUACCAGCUGCAGAGUGGAACAAUCCACUCCAGGGCCACCUCUCUGCUGAGAGCUAAGAAGACAAUGAGAUGACCUGCCUGCUAGGAGGAGCUUCCCUCUCCAGGGUCUCCUUUCUGCUAGGAGCUGAACUCUCAUUGGAACAUCCUGGCUGUGGAAAGGAGCUACCCUCUGCAGGUCUCCUGUGUGCUGUUCUAUUGAUCAAUAAAGCUCCCCUUCAUCUCGCUCAUCCUCCACUUGGCUCUGUACCUCAUGCUUCCUAGUUGCAGGACAAGAACUCGGGACCUACCAAAUGGCAGAGCUAAAAGAGCUAUAACACAGGACUGAAACAUGCCCCCUGCUUGCCACAUUGAGGGCAAAGAGAAGGAGAUAAGAUCUGUGCCUUCUCAGGCAGCCCAGACCUGGGAGCUCCCUGAGCCAGGGCUGUGACUCCCUCUUUGGGGUCCUGUGGUGCCUAGUAUCUCCAAGCUUCCAGGUGCCACUGCAUUUCCCGGUGCCAGCUGGGGAAGCUUCCUGCAGUGCACCUGGUCUGGCCACAGCCUCACAGAGAGUCAGUGCCUGUGCCAGCACCUGUAACUGCCCGCCCCAUUGCAGCAGCCGGCAUGUCCGAUUGCACACUGGCUGAACCCCAUGCUCCCUCACACACCCCUUGCCACUCCAUGCCUGACUUACCCUUGGCAGGUAUGGGAUCCAGGCCAGUAGUGUCAGCCAAGUAAAGCCUGCCAGGCCAGGUAGGCAGAACAAACCCAGCGGGCCUAAGCAAGACUUGGGCAAAGACAUCACCAGCCAGAAAAACAAUAUCCCAAGAAUCUUGUGACACUAGGCAUAGUGAAGUUCUUUAUUAAUUUGUAGAUUUUUAACCUGGAAAAUUCUAAUAUUUUCAACUAUUAAAAAAGAUAAUCCCCAAAAUAAUGCUUUAUUGUCAUGUAAAAUAUUAAAUAGAUUGUAUGUAACUUAGCUAUAUUAUUCUAAGAUAAAAUUCAUUAACUUGUCUUUAAGAAACUAGUUCCUAAAAUGCACUUUGAACUGUAUUUAUAAUCUCACUAGUCCUCUACUUAAUUAGGAAGUGGAAUAAAAUAUUUGAUAUAUUUUCUUUUUAUAUUUACAAAAGUCACCAUUUAAAUUCUUUGAAUUUUAACAUGUUAUACUUUUGGAGGAUCCACUGAGACACUAAAGUGGGUUCAUAAAGCCAACCAAACUGUGAUAGCACAGAAAUGUACUUCAGGAGCUGUUUAGGAGGAGAGACUUUUCUUUCUCCUCAAAGUGAUUCUCAAAUAGCAAUAGAGUCCUGGUGCAGUGGCUCAUGCCUACAAUCGAGCACUUUGGGAGGCCAAGGUGGGAGAAUUGUUUGAGCCCAGGAGUUCAAGAUCAGCAUAGGCAACAUAGCGAGACCUCAUCUCUACAAAAAAUACAGAAAUUAGCCAGGUGUGCCGGCAUGUGCUGUGUUUUUUGUCCAGCUACUUGGGAGGCUGAAGUGGAGGGAUUUCUUGAAACUGGGAGGUCAAGACUGAAGUAAGCCAUGAUCCUGCCACUAUACUCCUACAUGGGGGAAAGAGCAAGACUCUGUCUCAAAAAAAAAAAAAAAAAAAGAAAAAAAGAAAAAAAAGGCAAUAGAACUGUACCUUUGCUGUGAUGCUAGUCUACUACAAGUUGGCUUUUUUCUUUAAAUUUUGAAUUUUUCAUUUUCUUUUCUAGUUCUUCACCAUUUUGGUUCUGGAUAUAGUUUCCACUAGAAGAUGAUAAUGAUGAUAAUGAUAAUCCCCAUGCAUGCAUUAAUAAUUGGGAAUGUAAUUUUAUAAUCUGAACUUUAAAGACCUCUGUUAAGAUUAAAGGGAUUUCUUGUCCUUCAUAUGAGACAUGACAAGGAAUGAGAGUUGCAUUUUUUAAAUUCUUUGUUUCUCUAUUUGUGUAUCCAAAUAAUUUCAUAAAACAUUUUAUAACUACUAGAAGGGAAAAUAAUCCUUUGAAAUCUUGAACAGUGUAUUUUGGUGUUUCCUUGAUUACUUAAUCUGUUGCAGAGAUUGUUAUAAUUAAAGCUACAAUUUUCUCUGUGUUGCUAUAACUCAGAAGUCAUUCUCUCUCAUUCUGUAUGAAGUAUUUUCCUAAGAAGAGUAUUAAUAAAUAAAAUUUAGAAGUCUCUGAAUUUUAAGGAGCUAAGAUAUAAUUGGUUUACAUAGUAUAAGAAGUUCAUGAAUCUAUAGUAAUAUCUAAAGAAAACUUCAAAUGUACUAGUAAUUUAGGGAAAAAAUUCUUCUUAAAGGAUCUGCUAGCAGCUUAGAAAGAUUUUAAUUUACGAAUCUAAAUUCAUGCAAUAAAAGUGAAUCUUUGUAGACUAUGUGUUAAGCCACAAGACAAGCCUCAACAAAUUUUUAAAAAAUGAAAUCACAUCAACUAUCUUCUCAGACCACAAUGGAAUAUAACUAAAAACCAGUAACAAGAGAAACUUUUUAAAAAAUGUACAAAUACAAGAAAAUUUAAAACUAUGCUCCUGAACAAACACUGGAUCAAUGAUGAAAUUAAGCAGCAAAUAUAAAAAUUUAUUGAAACAAAUGAAAAUGGAAACACAACUUACCAAAACCUAUGGUAGAUAGCAAAUGCAGUGCUAAGAGGAAAGUUGAUACCCAUAAACUCUACAUAAAAAAAAAUACAAAGAAAAAAACCACAACUAAAAAUGAGUAGAAGGAAACAUAUAAUAAAAACUAGAAUUAAACAAAAUGGACACUAAAAAAGCAACCAAGAAAAGGAUAAGAUCAAAAUAAACAAAAUCAGAAACAGAAACAGAAAACAGACAUUACAACUAAUACUACAGAAAUACAAAAGUUCAUCAAAGACUAUUAUAAGCAACUAAAUCUUAAUGAACUGGAAAGUUGGAGGAAAUGGAUAAAUUUCUAGAUACACAUAUAUAGCCUACUGAGAGUGAAUCAGGAAGAAAUAAAAAACUGGAACAGAUCAAUAAUAAGUAAUGAGAUUGACUCAGUAAUAAAGUCUCCCAACAAAGAAAUGUCCAGGACUGGAUGGCUUCAAUGCCAAAUUCUACCAAACUUUCAAGCAAGAACUAACAACAAUUCUCCUCAUUCGAUGCAUGUAAGAAAAUAUCACAUGUACCACAUAAAUAUGUACCAAUAUAAGGUAUCAAUUAAAAACUGUUUAAAAAUUUAAAGCUAAAAACUGAUUCUUUGGACAAAUCAGACUGAUUUAAAAAUUUUGUCUGAAAUACAUAGCUGUGUUUUCUCCAUAAUUUUGUAGGGAUGUUGAGUUUCUGUUUUCAGAAAAUACUAGUUAACCUGAACUUCUUAAAAUUCUGAUAAUAGUGUAUUGAUCAGAUAAGCUAAUGAUAUCCAUACCUAAAGCUUAAAAUGAUAAAAAAGUAAAACUGUUUGACUGAACUGAAUCAUGAUUCUAACAAUGUUUUAUAUCAAUAAUUACAUUUUUUAGUGUCCUCUGAAAUGUGAUUUCUAAGAUUCUUGUGUACUUAACUUCAAGAUCUUGAAUAGCAAGCAUAGCGCUUACAAUAUACAACUCUACUUCUUACCUUAAAAUGUUACGAUGUUACCAUGAUUUUAUAUCAUGUUAAUGAAUGUGCUCAUUCUUGUCACUUGAAGACAUAAAUAUAAUGUAUGUGAGGCUGGGCGCGCAGUGGCUCAUGCGUGUAAUCCCAGCAUUUUGGGAGGCUGAGGUGAGUGAAUCAUUUGAGGUCAGGAGUUCGAGACCAGCCUGGCCAAUAUGGUGAAACUCUACCUCUAUUAAAAAUAAAAAAAUUAGCCGGAUAUGGUGGCAGGUGCCUGUAGUCUCAGCUACUUGGGAGGCUGAGGCAGGAGAAUCGGUUUGAACCCAGGAGGUGAAGGUUGCAGUGAGCUGAGAUAGUGCCACUGCACUCCAGCCUGGAGGACAGAGUGAGACUGUCUCUGCCUCAAAGAAAAAAAAAAAAAAAAAAAAGGGUGUGGCUGUAGAGAAUGAUAUUUCCUAGUCACCUAAAUUGCUUGUGCAUGAUAGGCAUUAUUAUCAAGUUCCUAUCCACCAGAGAAGGUUAAAUACAAGUUAAUUAACAAUGGUAAUAUGGGUAACUGAGUCUAUUUUAGCAGGGACAGUUUUAAGAAAAAGUGUAACUAUGUAGGUGAUGUAAUAGGAUAAAUGUUUAUUUUUCAAGAAAAGGGACAGAAUUUUAGUUCUCAGAUAAAGUGAAAGGUUGCUCCAGAAUUAAAAAGAAACAAAAUGAGGACAAAAACUUGAGCGUACAUAGUGAGGAGAGGAAGGUUUAAAUAAGAAUUUUUAUUUGCCUUGAUUUAUAACAUAUGGGACAAAACGGAAGCUGUAAAUGGGUUAAAAAUUUGACACAAUUCACUCAACUUUGAAAGCCUUAUAAUAUAAAUUAGAAAGAAGAAUGCAUGGAUCUUUACUGUAAAAUAUUAACUUAAUGUAAACAUAGAAUAGAUUACAUAUCAAAAUAACAAUUUACCUGGAAUUAUUUAGCAUUCUCUUAUUAAGGGAUUUUAAGAGAUUAUGCUUCUCAUCAGAAUGAUUUUCAGGCCAGGCGCAGUGGCUCACUUCUGUAAUCCCAGCACUGUGGAAAGCCAAGGCGGGUGGAUCACGAGGUCAAGAGAUGGAGACCAUCCUGGCCAACAUGGUGAAACCCCGUCUCUACUAAAAAUACAAAAAUUAGCCCCACGUGGUGGCACGCACCUGUAGUCCCAGCUACUCAGGAAGGUGAGGCAGGAGAAUUGCUUGAACCUGGGAGGUGGAGGUUGCAGUGAGCCAAGAUUGUGCUACUGCAUUCUAGCCUGGUGACAGAGUGAGACACAGUCUCAAAAAAAAAAAAAAAAAAAAAAAAAAAAAGAUUCUCAGUACUAUGUGCUGACAUUAUCACUUCCUUUAUUAAUGUAAAAAAUAAAAACAAACUUAUAAAUAAGCAAAGCUUCCUACAGUAACAUUACCCUUCUCCUACCUGUUUUGGAAAUUAAUAAACUUUCCUUUUGUAGAGUUUUUUUAUGUUCAGAACAAAAUUAAGUGGGAAAUUUGGAGAGCUUCUCUAUAGAUCCUGUCUGCACACAUGCACAGUCUCCCCCCAUCAACCCAUCAACAUCUUACAUGAUAGUGGUUCACAUAUUACAGAAAAAAAAAAAAACCUUUAAAGACACAUCAUUAUUGUUCAAAGCCCACAGCUGACAUAAGCAUUCACUCUUGGUAUUGCACAUUCUACGGGUUUUGACAAAUGUAUGAUGGAUGACAUGUAUCCACCAUUAUAGUAUCAUACAGAAUGGUUUCAUUGCCCUAAAAAAAUCCUCUGUGCUCCACUUAGUCAUCCCUCCCUCCCACCAAAUCCCCGGCAAACAAUGAUCUUUUUACUGUCUCCAUAGUUUUGCAUUUGCAAGAAAGUCAGAUAAUAGGAAUUAUAAAGUAUGUAGGCUUUUCACAUUAGCUUCCUUCAUUUACUGAUAUGCAUUCUUCCAUGUCUUCCAUGGCUUGACAGCUCAUUUCUUUUUAGCACUGAAUAAUAUUCCAAUGUCUGGAUCUACCACACUUUUUACAUUCACCCAGUGUAGGACAUCCUGGUGGCUUCCAAACUGGAGUAGUUAUAAAUAAAACUGCUAUAAACAUCUAUGUGUAAGUUUUUGUGUGGACAAAAGUUUUCAGCUGGGUCAGAUCAUGAGAGUGUGUUUAUUUUCAUUAAAGAACUGUCAGUCUGUCCCCCAGAGUGGCUGUACCAUUUUGCAUUCCCACUAGCAAUGAAUGAGACACCUUAUUGCUCUACAUCCUUGUCAGCAUUUGUUGUCAGUGUUUUGAAUUUUAGCUAUUGUAACAGGUAUAUAGUGGUAUCUCAUUAUUGUUUUAAAUAGCAAUUCUCUCAUAACAUGAUAUUAAACAACUUCUCAUAUGCUUACUUGUUUUCUGUAUAUCUUCUUUGGUGAAACGUAUGAUCAGGUCUUUUGAGCAUUUUAAAAUCAAGUUAUAGUUUUCUUAUUAUUUAGGUUUUAAGAGCUUUUCGUAUACUUUAAAUAACAGUCCUUUAUUAGUUUUAUCUGUUUUAAAUAUUUGUCCUAGUCUAUAGCUUCUCUUCUCAUUCCGUUAACACUACUUAUCACAAAACACAAGUUUUUGAUUUAAAAGAAGUGCAGCUUAUCAAUUAUUUCUUUCAUAGAUUAU
rnacentral:lncRNA from 1 species